rnacentral:rRNA from 1 species
UACGUAGGUGGCAAGCGUUAUCCGGAAUUAUUGGGCGUAAAGCGCGCGCAGGUGGUUCUUUAAGUCUGAUGUGAAAGCCCCCGGCUCAACCGGGGAGGGUCAUUGGAAACUGGGGAACUUGAGUAUAGAAGAGGAAAGUGGAAUUCCACGUGUAGCGGUGAAAUGCGUAGAGAUGUGGAGGAACACCAGUGGCGAAGGCGGCUUUCUGGUCUAUAACUGACACUGAGGCGCGAAAGCGUGGGGAGCAAACAGG